rnacentral:rRNA from 1 species
GACGAACGCUGGCGGCGUGCCUAAUACAUGCAAGUCGACCUUAGUGGCGAACGGGUGAGUAACACGUGGGUAACCUGCCCAUCAGAAGGGGAUAACACUUGGAAACAGGUGCUAAUACCGUAUACUGAUGGAUGGACCCGCGGUGCAUUAGCUAGUUGGUGAGGUAACGGCACACCUAGGCGACGAUCCGUAACUGGUCUGAGAGGAUGAUCAGUCACACUGGAACUGAGACACGGUCCAGCCUCCUACGGGAGGCAGCAGUAGGGAAUCUUCGGCAAUGGACGAAAGUCUGACCGAGCAACGCCGCGUGAGUGAAGAAGGUUUUCGGAUCGUAAAACUCUGUUGUUAGAGAAGCGGUAUCUAACCAGAAAGCCACGGCUAACUACGUGCCAGCAGCCGCGGUAUUC